GACGAACGCUGGCGGCGUGCUUAACACAUGCAAGUCGAACGGAAAGGCCCUGCUUUUGUGGGGUGCUCGAGUGGCGAACGGGUGAGUAACACGUGAGUAACCUGCCCUUGACUUUGGGAUAACUUCAGGAAACUGGGGCUAAUACCGGAUAGGAGCUCCUGCUGCAUGGUGGGGAGUGGAAAGUUUCGGCGGUUGGGGAUGGACUCGCGGCUUAUCAGCUUGUUGGUGGGGUAGUGGCUUACCAAGGCUGUGACGGGUAGCCGGCCUGGGAGGGUGACCGGCGACAUUGGGACUGAGAGACGGACCAGUCUCCUACGGGAGGCAGUGGGGGGGAAUAUUGCACAAUGGGCGGAAGCGUGAUGCAGCAACGUCGCGGUCGGGAUGACGGCUUUCGGGUUGUAAACCGCUUUCGCUUGUGACGAAGCGGUAGUGACGGUAAUGGGUAAAGAAGCACCGGCUAACUACGUG
rnacentral:rRNA from 1 species